GACGCUCCGACUCGUCUUUGGGCUCUUCCAUGACGACAGGGAGCGUUUUCUCUUGGUCCUUUUUGGACCUGGUGUCGUAGGCUUUCUUUUCUUCCGACAUCGUUGUAACAAGUGCUCUCAGGAAGGAGAGACCAAAAGGCUAUCGUCGUGGCUUGUGUAGACACAAGUUGGGACUCCCAGACCUCUAUCUCCCUUGUAUAGGAGGACCUGCGACGGCGAGAGACACAGAAAACGAGAAAACAAAAGAAAAGAAGAAGAAUAUAAGCACACUAUCUUAUAAGAAUAGCAUGAAAGAUAAGAAUGUGCGAACGAUUAUAUACACAUAUAAAUAAACAAGGAGAAAUAAUAAUAAACCGGCAAAGUAAAUAUUAUAUAAGUAUAUCAAUAAGAAUUCCGAUAGCAAACGGAUAAGUCGAUUUAGGAUAUAAUAUACAUAAAAUAAACAAUGAGAAAUGGUUAGUAAUAUUACGCACACAUACAUAUACUUAUACCUAGAAUAUGAGUAAAUAAAGAAAUGGUUAAAUAAGUAUUAGUAAAUGGUUAUAUAAACAUACACAUAUACCUAGAAUAUGUUAAAGUAAGUAAAAGAAACGGUUAAAUAAAUGUUAGUAAUGGCUGUAUAAAUAACAAGCAGCACAGUGUACCUAUAAACGAUAAAGAACGAAUUAAAGUACAGAAUAAACAAUAAAUAUCGUCAGUAAAUACCAACAGCAAAGUGUAGCUUUAAUAAAAGCUAAUGAUAAGUAAUUUCUUUUCUUACAUUAAGAGAUUACCAUGAAGGUAAUAUUUAAAGCUGAAAAAAAAAGUAGCAGAAACAGGAAAACGAAAGUAAACAAGUAUUUCGAAAGGUAAGAACCAGAAGGUCUACGUGCCGCUCUCGUGGUCGGUGAGGAUCUGCUCCCGAAUGACGAUUUCC
rnacentral:lncRNA from 1 species